CUCGUAGGCGGUUCGUCGCGUCCGGUGUGAAAGUCCAUCGCUUAACGGUGGAUCCGCGCGGGUACGGGCGGGCUUGAGUGCGGUAGGGGAGACUGGAAUUCCCGGUGUAACGGUGGAAUGUGUAGAUAUCGGGAAGAACACCAAUGGCGAAGGCAGGUCUCUGGGCCGUCACUGACGCUGAGGAGCGAAAGCGUGGGGAGCGAACA
rnacentral:rRNA from 1 species